CUUGAUAUCUUACACAGACUACAUCUUGAUGAAUGUUUGUAGCUGUAUCAGAUAUCAAGGA
rnacentral:pre_miRNA from 1 species